rnacentral:hammerhead_ribozyme from 1 species
AUCGAGAUGACGAGUCCCACAUUGGGACGAAAUGCGCGUCCUAGAU